AUGAUUAAACAGACGAAUGACCAGCAGAUUAUUUUCUAUAUAAAAUAACAGAAAGUCUCAAAGAUGACGAGAUGCUGAGUCAUGUUCACUGUGUCAUGUGUUGUUAUACUUGAGGCAUCGACCUAUAUUGUCCCGUCUCUGCUGUUUUAUCUUUAAAGUUGAAACUGGUUCAAAACCACAAUUGGACAAAUCACAAGACGUAUAAUACUGAACUCUACUGUUGCAGUUUCAUCGGUUUCCGUGAAGCUGGAGUCGUCUCCACGUACGAAUCGUUUCACAGCAGUAACAGGUGGUUAGCUGGCCCCGCCCACUUCGGUCUAAUUCGACCAAUGAGAUGGUUGGAGUGUCCAGUGCAGAGAUGUUGGAGGAAGUCAAAGCACAAUGAGCUGGAUGUUGAGGACGACUGUGCAGCAGAGAGGCUGCUGAGUGGUUUCAUUCUCCUGCAGUGGAAGAACAUUGUUCAUCUGUUUGGCUUCAACUACAAAGACUAAGACAUGUUGCUUCACCUCUUUGUGUUUCUCUCUCCCUUCAUAGCCAUGGGUUCCAUGGACAGCAUAACACCAGAAAGUACUGAAGAAGUAGUUUCAGAGGGAGGACACAUCAACCUGACCUGUAAAUAUGACGGAUCCAUCCGCAACAUCCAGUGGUACCGACAACAGCAGAGAUCCAGACCAGAGUUCCUGCUCUUCAUCACAGAGGAAGGAUCCAUUCAUCCAACUCUGUCUGAUUUCUCUGCUCACAUCAACCAGACUGAGAAACGAGUCAAACUGCAGAUCUCCUCUGCUGCAGUGACAGACUCUGCUGUGUACUACUGUGCUCUGCAGCCCACAGUGACAGGAAACUACACAACUCUGUACAAGAACCUGUGGAGCAAACACACAACUCCUCAUCCUCCA